rnacentral:lncRNA from 1 species
AUGGUUAGGCCUCAAAUUAGAGAUCCUGGGGACAGACAAGAGUGGAACAAGUGUGAGGGCCAGGAGUUUGAAUUAGCUCAAAGGGAGCCCUUUUUCUUCGCUCACAAGUGCCACGCAGGUGCGACUGAAAGCAUUCAAUGGGGGACAGCUAGGGACAUGCAAAAUCAGAGUCUAAGCCAGGAGACUCUGGUACUCAGGGCUGGAAAGGAGGGCAGCAGUCAAUGGGCAAAUUGUGCUGCCUUCUUAUCAGGCCUCACAAGCUAAAUAGUGCAAGACUUGUCCAAUAUGCAGAUGGGGAAAGAGCAGAUUCUUGUUUUCUACUAAUGGCCUCAUAACUACCGUCCAGAGAGAAGCAAUCACGAUGGGCAGACAGUGGGGAUUUAUUUAGAGCAAGAGGGGUAGAAUGGCUCGUUUGGGCCCAGGCAUCACACAACCAGCCCACACAGCAUCGUGCCUGGGGCAGCCCUGCCCAACAGAAGCCAGCGGCAGGCCAGCCUCAGGACACUAGCCUGGUAGGUAGUUCUGUUAGAUACAGCAGGAUGGGUUUUUCAGAUGUUUCUGCUUAGGGAUCCCACCUGCCAGAGUGUGGACAUGCAAUCCCUGGAAGCCUGGGAUUUAGUAGAACAUUCAUGGAAGUUGGAAGAGUUGGUUUCACCCUCCUCUUUUAGUAUAAUAUUUGAAUAUUAUACUAUUCCUAAUAUGUUGCUUUUUAGACAUAAAACUAUUUAAAUUACUAGUUAAGUUGCUUUACAUGUCCCAACCCCCAAAUCUUUCAUGCAAAAUUUGUAUUCUAGGAAGACGGAAUGUUUAUCCCUGGGCUACCAGUGCCCAGCACAUGGCUACAUAUUCCUUGUGAGGAGGAAGCUGAAUAUUCUCGUUUGAGAAACAAAGCAUAGCAGAAAUGAGUUGCUGCAGAUGCUGGCAGAGGGAUGAACUGCUACAUAAGUCAUCAUUCCACUCUGCCACCAUCCCCCUGUUCCUCCUUCCCAUCCCAUGCCCUCAUGUUGGUGUCAUUUGAAUGUCAGUUCCUGCCCAUUCUCAGUUGUUUAAGUAUGAUAAACAACCCCACAGCCACCGCCUUGAUAGAUUGAAAAGCUAUGAAUUAUUUAAACCCACUUGUCUCAGUCUUCCCAGACAGAAUCAACACAGCCUCUGUCCUCUCUGGAUGGACCUAUAAGAAAUGUUCUGAGACAGAGACAAUCGAACAUGUUUGGACAUUAACUUCUUCCUUUUUCACCCGAAGUGGAAAUAAUGGGCAUAAAAGAAGAUAUGCAGUUUCCAUCUUUCCUAAAACUGGAUAGAAACUGAGAUGAAAGUAAUGUAAAAUCAGAUCCCUUUUCAACUUCGUAAUACAGCUGCUUUGGCACAGGAAAUCCACAUUGAGAGCAUUGAGAGAUUCCAGUUCUACCUAAAAAUCCAGGUCUCCAAAGUAAAACAGAAAGUGAAGAUAGGUAUGCAGGUAAAAUUCUAGCCUGUUCCUAAAUUAACCGAGAUUCAGACACAAGAUUUGGCCUAAAUGGCCGGUAGCAAUUCAGACAAUGAGAGCUUGCCCCAAAACAAAAUGUGAGUACAACUGCUUGAGACAUACCAAGGCCAGAAGAAUAAGUAGCCAAUUCCUUGAAAACCUUGGUUACAGAAGAAAAGAAUCAUGACUGUGUUUCUCAUUCCAUUCCUCUUCUCCUCUCUAGUUGGAAAUGUCACUUGAUCCACCCAGCGAAUUCUGGGAGGCAUUCCACCAGGAGAGAGAGAGAGUACAUUUUCAUGUGGUAAACGUCCCCAGGAAGUCAUAAUAUCUGCUUAAGCUGACAAAAAAUGGUUGUUCUUUAAUCUAGGGAUUUGUUUGCAGCUGAGUGCUAGGCUCUUUUGCUUUUUUAAAAACGAAGCAAGAGAUCUCAUGGCCCAAGAUGGGAUGAUUUCAGUUUGAAAUGUGUCCCACCAAAGGGUGGGGCUAGCAGAUGGAAAUAGUGUCACGAACAGCUGG